rnacentral:rRNA from 1 species
AACGAACGCUGGCGGCAUGCUUUAACACAUGCAAGUCGAACGAGACCUUCGGGUCUAGUGGCGCACGGGUGCGUAACGCGUGGGAAUCUGCCCUUAGGUACGGAAUAACUCAGAGAAAUUUGUGCUAAUACCGUAUGAUGUCGAAAGACCAAAGAUUUUAUCGCCUAAGGAUGAGCCCGCGUAAGAUUAGCUUGUUGGUGAGGUAAAAGCUCACCAAGGCGACGAUCUUUAGCUGGUCUGAGAGGAUGAUCAGCCACACUGGGACUGAGACACGGCCCAGACUCCUACGGGAGGCAGCAGUGGGGAAUAUUGGACAAUGGGCGAAAGCCUGAUCCAGCAAUGCCGCGUGAGUGAUGAAGGCCUUAGGGUUGUAAAGCUCUUUACCAGGGAUGAUAAUGACAGUACCUGGAGAAUAAGCUCCGGCUAACUCCGUG